UACGGAGGGGGGCGAGCGUUGUUCGGAAUUAUUGGGCGUAAAGGGUGCGUAGGCGGUUUGAUAAGUCUGAAUGUGAAAUCUAUGGGGCUCAACCCAUAGCCUGCAUUAGAAACUGUCGGGCUUGAGUUAUGGGAGAGGUGAGUGGAAUUUCCGGUGUAGCGGUGAAAUGCGUAGAUAUCAGGAGGAACACCGGUGGCGAAGGCGGGUCUCUGGGCCGAUACUGACGCUGAGGCAGCGAAGGUCAGGGGAGCAAACGGG
rnacentral:rRNA from 1 species